rnacentral:lncRNA from 1 species
CUACGAGAACAUUCUCUCUCUUCCUUCUUUCUGUAAUCUAUGCACCUGGUGCAUGGAUUAACCUAUGCACCACGUUCAAAAUUUGAACUCAAAUUUUCUCUAUGCACCUAGUGUAUAUAUCAUCUCAUACACCAUUAUUCAAAUUUUCUCUCUUUCCACUUUUUUUUCAUUUUUUUUUUCUUCUUCUUCCCUUCUUUUUUUCUUUUUUUUUGCUUCAACAGAGAGGAUUAAGAGUUUGGAACCUGCGGACCCUAAUCUCCAAAAGGUGCGGCGAGACAUCGAGAGUGGACGCGGCAGCGAUUUUAGUGUAAAUGUCGAGGGUGCGCUCCGGUUUCGAAACCGAUGGUGCGUACCAGAAAACGAGGAAGUCCGGAAGUUGAUUUUACAAGAAG